UACUAUGGAGAGUUUGAUCCUGGCUCAGGAUGAACGCUAGCGGGAGGCUUAAUACAUGCAAGUCGAGCGAGAAGAUUGGUGCUUGCACCAAUUGGAAAGCGGCGCACGGGUGAGUAACGCGUACACGACCUACCUUCAAGAGGGGGAUAGCCUUUGGAAACGGAGAUUAAUACCCCAUAGUAUUAUUGUAGUAAGUAUGAUAAUUAAAACUUCGGUGCUUGAAGAUGGGUGUGCGUCCCAUUAGCUAGUUGGUGAGGUAAAGGCUCACAAAGGCGACGAUGGGUAGGGGGCGUGAGAGCGUGAUCCCCCACACGGGUACUGAGACACGGACCCGACUCCUACGGGAGGCAGCAGUAAGGAAUAUUGGACAAUGGGCGAAAGCCUGAUCCAGCCAUCCCGCGUGCAGGAAG
rnacentral:rRNA from 1 species